rnacentral:rRNA from 1 species
AACGAACGCUGGCGGCAGGCCUAACACAUGCAAGUCGAGCGAGGUAGCAAUACCUAGCGGCGGACGGGUGAGUAACGCGUGGGAACGUACCCUUUGCUACGGAAUAGCCCCGGGAAACUGGGAGUAAUACCGUAUGUGCCCUUCGGGGAAAGGAUUUAUCGGCAAAGGAUCGGCCCGCGUUGGAUUAGGUAGUUGGUGGGGUAAUGGCCUACCAAGCCGACGAUCCAUAGCUGGUUUGAGAGGAUGAUCAGCCACACUGGGACUGAGACACGGCCCAGACUCCUACGGGAGGCAGCAGUGGGGAAUCUUAGACAAUGGGCGCAAGCCUGAUCUAGCCAUGCCGCGUGAGUGAUGAAGGCCUUAGGGUUGUAAAGCUCUUUCAGAUGGGAAGAUAAUGACGGUACCAUCAGAAGAAGCCCGGCUAACUCCGUG